GACGAACGCUGGCGGCGUGCCUAAUACAUGCAAGUAGAACGCUGAAGGAGGAGCUUGCUUCUCUGGAUGAGUUGCGAACGGGUGAGUAACGCGUAGGUAACCUGCCUGGUAGCGGGGGAUAACUAUUGGAAACGAUAGCUAAUACCGCAUAAGAGUAGAUGUUGCAUGACAUUUGCUUAAAAGGUGCAAUUGCAUCACUACCAGAUGGACCUGCGUUGUAUUAGCUAGUUGGUGGGGUAACGGCUUACCAAGGCGACGAUACAUAGCCGACCGGAGAGGGUGAUCAGCCACACUGGGACUGAGACACGGCCCAGACUCCUACGGGAGGCAGCAGUAGGGAAUCGUCGGCAAUGGACGGAAGUCUGACCGAGCAACGCCGCGGGAGUGAAGAAGGUUGUCGGAUCGUAAAGCUCUGUUGUAAGAGAAGAACGAGUGUGAGAGUGGAAAGUUCACACUGUGACGGUAUCUGACCAGAAAGGGACGGCUAACUACGUG
rnacentral:rRNA from 1 species